UUUUACAAUGGAGAGUUUGAUCCUGGCUCAGGAUGAACGCUAGCUAUAGGCUUAACACAUGCAAGUCGAGGGGAAACGGCAUUAUGUGCUUGCACAUUUUGGACGUCGACCGGCGCACGGGUGAGUAUCGCGUAUCCAACCUGCCCUUUACUUGGGGAUACCCCGUUGAAAGACGGCCUAAUACCCGAUGUAAUUCAUUGAUGGCAUCAGAUAUGAAUAAAAGAUUUAUCGGUAAAGGAUGGGGAUGCGUCUGAUUAGCUUGUUGGUGAGGUAAAGGCUCACCAAGGCAACGAUCAGUAGGGGUUCUGAGAGGAAGGUCCCCCACAUUGGAACU
rnacentral:rRNA from 1 species